AUGCACAUUAUUUCAACUGUACAACUUCCUCUCACGCAUACGCCGCCCCUGUUCACGCAUACGCCUCACUGUAUAACUUCUUCCUCACCGCCGUUUCACGUCUCCUCGCUGCCGUUUCACGCCGUUUCACGUCUCCUUGCUGCCGAUUCACGCCCUUCACGUCUCCUCGUCGUUGAUUCACGCUCUUCACGGCUCAUCUCCGCCGAUUCACGCCCUUCAUGA